AUUUUUUUUUUUUUUUGUUCUUUCUAUCAUUAGGAAUGAAAUAUGCAAAUAUGCAACUCAAAGGUUAUAUUCAGUUCUAUUCAUAGUUAUAUUCCUUUCUAUUCGGUUUGUAUGGUGAUUUUGUAUAUGGGUAUUGAAUAUGAAAUCUUGUGGGUGAUUUUGUGAUGAUUUAUUGAUUGAUUCAUGUUUCAGUUCAAUCUGUAUUUUUUUAAUUCAAGUUUUAAGAUAUGUUUCGUCUUCGUCAUUCAUGAAUUGUGUUCUUCGAGAUGAGUUUGUUGAACUGUAGGACAUAGAAUCAAUUUUCUGGGUUUUGGGUUGAAUUCUUAUGGGGAAUAUUGAGAUAAGUAUUUUGAAUUUUUCUGGAUUUUGGGUUGUCCAAAUUGGCAUUGGAGUGUGAAUGCUGGGAAUGGAGAAUAGGUUCAGUUUAUUUCGGUUUAAACCGAACUGAACCGAAAUGAUAUAUUUUGAUUUGCUUCGAUUCGGUUGUUUUAAUAUUUCAGUUUUCAGUUCCGAUUGCUCACCCCUUAGCGCCACCACCAAAAACAAAAAGAUGAAGUAUAAGAAGGAAGAAAGAAAGAAGCAAUGAAUAAUGAGAAUACCAGGGGGGAAAAAAUCAGUGAUACAAUAAUUCAUGGUGCCUAGGAAAUAGAACUGUAUAGUCCAUUUUAAAGCUUUGAAAUAUUUAAAUAGGUUCCAAAAUAGCAGAUAAAUUUUAACCUAUUAUAUCUGGACACUAGUGACAAGCAUCUGGAAAAACCAUGUAACCACAUUUUGAACCCGUAAGGCCAGGAUGAGAAAUAUUAAAGACAGUGUCUCCUGAGUUCGUGCUAAAAGAUUAUGGAUAAGAGUUUAUUCUUCUAGUGAGUUGUCAGAUAGGAUGAGAUAAUAAAACCAGGUAAUACAGCACAAAUAGAGUUAUCAGUCAUCGACUGCAUAAGUUUCCAUAAUUAGAACCAGUAUGCUGACAGGAUUAUAUUCAUCCAUAAAAGCUACAUUCGCUUCGUCUACAGCACCCACUUUAGAUGCAAUCAAUGAAUAAUUAAAGUUUUUCUCAAGUUUUAGCAGCUUUCACGAAAAUUAAGAGCUUAUCAGUUCUAUCCAAAAUUGUAAUAAUUUUUUUUUUUAACCUAGAGCUGAAUAUCAUUCGAUAAGUUUGCAGGUACACUUUUCAAAAUCACAAGGUUUGAAGGGUUGAAAAUUAAAUGUGAAUCAAGAAUAUGAAAUAAACCAUCACUCCACCAGUAUAGAAGUUUUAAGAAUAAAAGAAGUGGGCAGCAUUAUUCAAUCUGCUUAGACUAUCCUGCAUAACUUACCUUCGUAUAUUCAACAUUGGUAACAUCCCUAUGAAGAGCAAGCCUGGCUGCUUCGAAUACUUCAGCCUUCUUAAGCUUUGCAUCAGGGCCCCUUGCCAAUAGAAGAUCAAUUACUACUUUCCUGCAAUGUAGGACACCAUUCAGAAACACAAAGGAGAAUUAAGGUUAAUGUUAACAUAUCAUUUUCGCUUAUAAUCUCCUCAAACACUACUAAAUUCACUAGAAAGUUAAACCUCAGUGGAUCAUAUUGUGGGUGGUCUGGGGAUGACUUCAAAACAUAAAAACCAUGAAUAUUCGUUGCAACUUGGCUUAUGAUUUCUUGAAGCUCCUCUGAAGGAGCAUCAGCACCAGAUGCUGCAGCUACAGCAAUUCUAGGAUCUGCCUUUGGAAGAGUAGACUGAGAAAUGGCCAAGUCCCGCAAACCUUGGCAAAUCAAUUGAAAGCUGCAAACCCUGUGAUUUUGAAGAACUUUUGGCAGGGCCUUUAGUAAAGCUUCUCGCGUUUCAACUGUUAUGGUAGUUUUAGUGAGUACUCUAUUUCCACUAGCACUUUUGGUUGUGCUUUUGUCAGAAUUCAAUUGUUUUACAGGAUUAUGAGCCACACUGGGCUUUGGUACAGGAUUCUUCAUCAUAGGUCUUCCAGCUCGACUAAAAAAGUCAUUUAACUUUUUCUCUAUGGCUUCCCAAGCUUCUUCUUGCUUUUUAACAAUUUCUGGGUAGAGUUUUAUAAAUGUUGCAUCCAUAUGCUCUUUGAACUUCCAAUCCUUAAAGGAAGGCCUUUCAACUGCAAACACGUUGAGGAAGCUCUUCAUAUCUUCUUUAAGCUUGAUUGGGAAGUUAAGUUGUGAAGACUUGAUCACCAAAUUCUUGCUAAAUAAAAGAAGAACAUAAUCUCUAGCCGGAGGUUUAGUAACUUCCUUUGUAUUUGAAUCUGGAAACAGCAAUGAAGUCUUUGGAGCCCAAAGUCCCUGAACUAAUUGUCCAUGCUUCUGAAGAACAGUUAAGACAUCUUCAAUGGCAUCAUCAGGAGCAUAAUGCUUAAGAACACUAAACCGUUGAACUGGAGGCCCCUCUAAAAGCAGUUUCUUAAUACGUUCUUCCAGUGGCAGUGAAAGCAAUAACCUUCUUGAGGAACCUUUAGAUUUAGUAUUGUCGUUGGAUGCCAUUGGACACAAUGAACUCAAAUAGUCGUACGGGCUCAUUGUGAACUCCAUCGGAGAACUCUCUUGUGCCACCAUUUUUUUUAGAUAUCUAGAAGAAAAAUCACUCUUGGAGCCAUGAUACUUGAGUGAAAUCCAACACUCAUCAGCAUCUGAAACUUGAUCAUUUGCUGAAUCCACUCGCUUGAUCUGCUUCUUUGAUGGACCAAUAGGCUUCCCUUCAUUUGAAUCUUCCAAUUUUACAAUGUCAAUCUUAGAUGCGGCAACGUUCUUCCUUCUUGAAUCACUAGAGUUGACAUGUUCCAAUGAUGGGCGAAGCUGGACCACUGCAUAAAUGGGAUUCAAGUGUAGCUUGUUACCUAUUAGAACUCCAAGAGCAUAGCCAGUGGCACGUGGUGGCAUAACAGAAGAUGAUAAAGUCUGUUUUUUCAGGUUGAAUUUGCUGGCUUGAGCAGGGUCCCAGUUAGUAGAAUCAUCUAUAGACAAAUCAACCUCCACUUCUGUGCUUUGUGGUUUCACUCUAACCUCAUCACAUCGAUCAUCCAACUCAUAGGGUCUCCAGCACGGCCUCAAAGGAUAUUGCAUAACAUAUAGCUGAGUAUCCGAAUCUAUGGAGGGGGUGAAGAAGACGUCAAUUUCGCGAACAAUCAUGUCUUCUUCUUCUUCUUCAUCGUCUUCUUGUUUAUCUUCACCCAUGGGAUCAUCCAGCUUAGAAACUGCCCCGACCUCAGCCUUGGCAUCAAUUUCCAUUUUCACGACAUCAUUGUUCGAGGUUAAGUUUUCAAUCUUGGGCGUCGCAUUCAUUCUAGGUUUAAUUUCUUCUCCGUUUUCCUUUUUCUUGGCCAACAUAGCGUUUCGAGUUUCCAGUUUCGCUGCUGAUACGGAUUCCUGAGGUUCAAAAUUUGAACCUGAGUUCUGGGACUCCGGCUUGAAGGACGGCGGUUCUGGUUUUGGUUUCUCUUUGGGCUGCGGCUUGAAUUUGGAGGAUUUGGGAGCAAACUUGGAGGUUCGUGAAGGGACUUGGCUUGGUCCGUCCAGGUCAUCAAGAUCAUCCAGGUCCAUACUUUGUAAUCACCGGCGACGGCUGCGUUUGCUUUGGUGUCUCACGGCCACUCGGUGGGUAAUGGAGGCUCCGGUAACUGGCAAGGUUUCGUGCAAGAAGAAGACGCAGUAAUGCAGAAGUGGAA
rnacentral:misc_RNA from 1 species